GACGAACGCUGGCGGCGUGCUUAACACAUGCAAGUCGAACGGUGAAGCGCCUUCCUUUUUGGUUGGUGUGGAUGAGUGGCGAACGGGUGAGUAACACGUGAGUAACCUGCCCCCUUCUUCUGGAUAACCGCAUGAAAGUGUGGCUCAUACGGGAUAUUCUGGUUCUGUCGCAUGAUGGGUCUGGGAAAGAUAUUGUUUCGGUGGGGGAUGGGCUCGCGGCCUAUCAGCUUGUUGGUGGGGUGAUGGCCUACCAAGGCGGUGACGGGUAGCCGGCCUGGGAGGGUGGACGGCCAGAGUGGGAGAGAGACACGGCCCAGACUGCGACGGGGGGCAGCAGUGGGGAAUAUGGAACAAUGGGGGAAAGCCUGAUGCAGCGACGCGGCGGGAGGGAUGGAGGCCUGCGGGUUGUGAACCUCUUUGGCCAGUGAAGCAGGCCUGCCUCGGAUGUGGGUGGGUUGACGGUAGCUGGAUAAGAAGCGCCGGCUAACUACGUG
rnacentral:rRNA from 1 species